rnacentral:lncRNA from 1 species
CUCCUUAUGUGAUAGUGGAAGAAGACUAAAGAAAACAGGAAUGAAAAACAACCAUUAAUUCUAGUCUGUACCAGGUAUUAAAAAGGAUAGCGCAUCUUGGCAAAGAACGGCAACCUGCACUGGGACAAUGUUAUCUGCCAACUAAUGCUGAUAACUACGUAUCUCCAAACCCAAACUUAAAUGUUUCCUCAAACCAAAACCCUGCAAGAAAACAAAGUAACAUUCAUAAACCCAGUACAGUAGAUACACACACCAAGUGCUAGAAAAUAUUUACCAAAACCAGCUUGCAAAUAGAAAACAAAAACUCGUGAAGCUUCCUCAAAUGCUAACAAAUUUCCUAAACAACAAUCUAACACAACUACUCAACAGGCUGGCAAUAUUUCAUCAAAGGAGAAAAUAAAUAAUAAGUACAAGCAAAGAGAAAGCAGCAGUUAUAAAAAUAAGGGUGAAAUUCACUGCUAUUACCUUUACACACUUUGGCCUGCUUAAUUCGGUCUGACCAAAAAAGAGAAAGAAACAGCAUAUUUGGAGCUCGGUAACUGCCCAACAAACCCGUGCUCUAUAUCAAGAACUUGCCGAUGUAAUCACAUAACAUAACUAUAUGUAGCUAUUUUAAUCACAUAAGAAACUAAAUAAGUGAACUGAAAACCAAUAACACCAAAGCUGUCACCACAUAUGCUUGUUCCAUAAGAUAAACCAAAUUCAAACAUAUGAUCUUAUUCGUACCUGGAAGACAAGAGGUUCAUUCAAAUCAACAAUGAAUUUGUGUGCAACCAUCUUCGCAAUUGCAUUAAAGAAAAAAAUAUGCUUAGCAAAGGAUUAAUAAAUUACUUUUUUUUUUAAAGAAUAACAAAAACAAGUAUAAAAAAAUAUAAUUACUAAUAAUUACAUUAGUUUAUUUUA